CCUUCAUUGAAGGCGCCGCGGGUUCUCAUCUGGACCGCGCGGCUUCCAGAGGCUUCCCCUCAACUGUGAGCCCUUUCACCACCAACGCUUCACCUGCCUACCACCCCCAGUCGGCGAGAAAUUAACAAAAGACUACAAUAUGAUGAUACAAAUAUCCUUUGUCCAACUGGCAAAACAGGGAGAGGAUCAGAUCAUAAUUUCCUGAACUGGUCUUUUGGGAAACUUAAACCUCUGAGUUCCUGUAGACUGAGCUCCUCAAGGAAGAACUAAAAUAUGAACCAGCCAGAAAGAAGAGAUUUGGUUGACCAAGACAUGUCUUAGAGUUUGGUCAAGGACCCUGUUCACAGGUUUCUACACGUGUAUAAAUGCUGAAGAUGGAAAGGCCUUUCCUGAUUUGUUUGGAGAAUUGAAAUAGAACUUUAGUAGCUUUCUUGCAGGAUGGUCUCCAGAGGGGAUAGUCUCAUGAGAUGGAGCAAUUGAUCACAUUUGAUGGUUACCAGCUGGAUAACGCACCUUCAAAUGGACUUUCCCCACUUCCUUGCCUCGUUUUACUAUUGCCUGCUUCCUUGAGGUUGAACCCUGAAUAAAGCAAUUCAUGGUACUCUUG